rnacentral:rRNA from 1 species
AUUGAACGCUGGCGGCAUGCCUUACACAUGCAAGUCGAACGGCAGCACGGGGCAACCUGGUGGCGAGUGGCGAACGGGUGAGUAAUGCAUCGGAACGUACCUUUCAGUGGGGGAUAACGUAGCGAAAGUUACGCUAAUACCGCAUAUUCUGUGAGCAGGAAAGCAGGGGAUCGCAAGACCUUGCGCUGAUUGAGCGGCCGAUGUCAGAUUAGCUAGUUGGUGAGGUAAAGGCUCACCAAGGCGACGAUCUGUAGCGGGUCUGAGAGGAUGAUCCGCCACACUGGACCGGAGACACGGUCCAGACUCCUACGGGCGGCAGCAGUGGGGAAUUUUGGACAAUGGGGGCAACCCUGAUCCAGCCAUGCCGAGUGAGGGAAGAAGCCCUUCGGGUUGGAAAGCUCUUUCGGCCGGGAAGAAAUCGCACGGGCUAAUACCCUGUGUGGAUGACGGUACCGGAAUAAGAAGCACCGGCUAACUACGUGCCAGCAGCCGCGGUAACAC